UUGCUGUGGUUAACGGGGUAGUUGUUGGGGGAUCCAUGGUCGUUGUCUGUAUGGUUGUUGUAGGUGGCGUACUGAUGGUUGUUGUGGUUAAUGGGGUAGUUGUUGUAACGGUUGUUGUGGUUAUUGAAGUAGUUGUUUGGGGACCUGUGGUUGUUGUUUGUGUAGUUGUUGUAGGUGGCGUACUGAUAGUUGUUGUGGUCAAUGGGGUAGUUGUUGUAACGGUUGUUGUGGUUAUUGAAGAAGUUGUUAGGGGACCUGUGGUUGUUGUUUGUGUGGUUGUUGUAGGUGACGUAAUGAUGGUUGCUGUGGUUAAUGGGGUAGUUGUUGGGGGAUCCAUGGUCGUUGUCUGUAUGGUUGUUGUAGGUGGUGUAGUGAUGGUUGUUGUGGUCAAUGGGGUAGUUACUGUUGUGAUCAUUGUUGUGGUUAAUGGGGUAGUUGUUGGGGGAUUCGUGGUCGUUGUCUGUAUGGUUGCUGUAGGUGGCGUACUGAUGGUUGUUGUGGUUAAUGGGGUAGUUGUAAUGGUUGUUGUGGUUAUUGAAGUAGUUGUUAGGGGACCUGUGGUUGUUGUUUGUGUAGUUGUUGUAGGUGGCGUAGUGAUGGUUGUUGUGGUCAGUGGGGUAGUUAUUGUUGCGAUCGU